ACUGCUCAGUAACACGUAGUCAACAUGCCCAGGGGACGUGGAUAACCUCGGGAAACUGAGGAUAAACCGCGAUAGGCCAAGAUUUCUGGAAUGAAUCAUGGUUUAAAUCUAUAUGGCCCCUGGAUUGGACUGCGGCCGAUCAGGCUGUUGGUGAGGUAAUGGCCCACCAAACCUGUAACCGGUACGGGCUCUGAGAGGAGGAGCCCGGAGAUGGGCACUUAGACAAGGGCCCAGGCCCUAUGGGGCGCAGCAGGCGCGAAACCUCUGCAAUAAGCGAAAGCUUGACAGGGUUACUCUGAGUGAUUUCCGCUAAGGAAGUCUUUUGGCACCUCUAAAAAUGGUGCAGAAUAAGGGGUGGGCAAGUCUGGUGUCAGCCGCCGCGGUAAUACCAGCACCCCGAGUGGUCGGGACGAUUAUUGGGCCUAAAGCAUCCGUAGCCGGUCCUGCAAGUCCUCCGUUAAAUCCACCCGCUCAACGGUUGGGCCGCGGGGGAUACUACAGGGCUAGGAGGCGGGAGAGGCAAGCGGUACUCGAUGGGUAGGGGUAAAAUCCACUGAUCCAUUGAAGACCACCAGUGGCGAAGGCGGCUUGCCAGAACGCGCUCGACGGUGAGGGAUGAAAGCUGGGGGAGCAAACCGGAUUAGAUACCCGGGUAGUCCCAGCUGUAAACGAUGCAGACUCGGUGAUGGGCUGGCUUCGUGCCAACCCGGUGCCGCAGGGAUGCCGUUAAGUCUGCCGCCUGGGGAGUACGGUCGCAAGACUGAAACUUAAAGGAAUUGGCGGGGGAGCA
rnacentral:rRNA from 1 species